rnacentral:rRNA from 1 species
CAUAGCGACUAUCGUGGCAUAUCAAUAAGCGGAGGAAAAGAAACUAACAAGGAUUCCCCUAGUAACGGCGAGUGAAGCGGGAAGAGCUCAAAUUUGAAAUCUUCAAGGGUUUACCUUUACGAAUUGUAGUUUAAAGAAGUGUUUUCUGUUGGAGUUUCGGUAAAAGUUCUUUGGAAUAGGACAUCAUAGAGGGUGAGAAUCCCGUAUUUGACCGUUAAUUUCAGCUGUGUGAUACACUUUCAAAGAGUCGGAUUGUUUGGGAAUGCAGUCCAAGAUGGGUGGUAAAUUUCAUCUAAAGCUAAAUACUGGCGAGAGACCGAUAGCGAACAAGUACCGUGAGGGAAAGAUGAAAAGAACUUUGAAAAGAGAGUUAAACAGUACGUGAAAUUGUCAAAAGGGAAGCGUUUGACACCAGUGUUGUUUAGCUCGAAAAUCAAUUAAAAAUGGUGGGAUGUUGUGUUGUACUGACUUUAUCCAGCUUUCUGCACUUUUUUUCCUUGUCUUUUUUAAUGCACUUUUCGUUUAACAAGUCAACAUCAAUUUCUUUUGUUGUAAAAGAGUCAUUGGAAGGUGGCUUUCCUUUUCGGAGAAAGUGUUUAUAGCCUUUGGCCUCUGCAAUCGGAGAGAUUGAGGUCUGCAGCGUAGAUCCUUCGGGGUUAGAUAGCAUUUGUGCUAAGCUAUAGCCUUUCAUAGACAACUUGUUGACUAUGAUCAGUCAUGUAGCUUACUCGCUUAUGCUAUUUUACCUACGCUUAGGAUGUUGAUAUGCAUGACUGAUAU